rnacentral:rRNA from 1 species
GACGAACGCUGGCGGCGUGCUUAACACAUGCAAGUCGAACGCUGAAGCUCAGCUUUUGUUGGGUGGAUGAGUGGCGAACGGGUGAGUAACACGUGAGUAACCUGCCUCCUUCUUUGGGAUAACGCCCGGAAACGGGUGCUAAUACUGGAUAUUCACUGGUCUUCGCAUGGGGGUUGGUGGAAAGGGUUUUUCUGGUGGGGGAUGGGCUCCCGGCCUAUCAGCUUGUUGGUGGGGUGAUGGCCUACCAAGGCUUUGACGGGUAGCCGGCCUGAGAGGGUGACCGGUCACAUUGGGACUGAGAUACGGCCCAGACUCCUACGGGAGGCAGCAGUGGGGAAUAUUGCACAAUGGGCGCAAGCCUGAUGCAGCGACGCCGCGUGAGGGAUGGAGGCCUUCGGGUUGUGAACCUCUUUCGCUCAUGGUCAAGCCGCAACAAUGGUUGUGGUGAGGGUAGUGGGUAAAGAAGCGCCGGCUAACUACGUG